rnacentral:ncRNA from 12 species
GGGUGCCGGGCCACGAGGCGCGGCAGGUUCUGCACUGGUCGGGCCGCCAGCG